rnacentral:lncRNA from 1 species
AGGGGGACUUCACACGGAGGAAUGAGGGGUGGGAUGCAGUGACAUCACAAGGGUCCCAUUAUGACCCCUCCUCCAUCAGCUAAGGGGGGAUGGGCUGAGCCUGAACAGAGGGAGAGGGGAGUAAAUAAGGGGCUGUUGCCAGAGCCUGAGCCCACCAGAGAAAGUCUGUGUGCAGAGGGAGGGCCUCAGGUCCUGCUGCUCCUUCAUCUUGACCCCUUCACACCCUCCUCUAACAGGGACCUCGACCUCCCUUCUCCACUCUCCUGGAUCCUGCUCAGUGUGGUGCAGGCCUUCUCUGGGGCCCUGGAGUUCCCACUGACCUUCAGCCCCGCCAGUUGCAUCUGCUGUUCCCACUGAAGGUUAGUGGACAGGGUGGAGGUGGCUAAAGGUGGAAAAGAUACUUUGUGAGAGGGGGACCCCAACACGAGGACAGGGCACUGACGGAGCCUUUACCAAAAUGCUGGGAAAGGUCUCCCCACCAUCCACAUAUUCUCUCCCAGGCCUCAAAGGGCCCUCCCCAGUCUCCAGCUGUCAGCUUUCCCACCUCCACCUUCUCUCCUCCUUUCGGUUCUGCUUCUGAAUUUCUUCAAAAAUUCUCCUGCAUCAAGACUCUCAUGCUAGUCAGUUCCUGCCUGGGGUCACCAGACUGCUUCGAAGUCAGGAAGAACAUGGUGGGGACGGUGACUUGAGUUUCCUGGACCACAGUGCAGGUGAGAAAUGCACCCCUUUCAAUUACGACAGCUGCUUCCAGAAGAUAGGGGCUGUGGUGAGAACAGAACUUCCUUUGCUGCGACAUGAACUGCUUCCUCAGAUGAUGGCUGGAUUCCUGUGAAUGUGGAUAAAGCAUUCUGUCAGUCCACAGAUGGUGUUGCUGGCAGAAGCAUUACAGGCAAGGCAGGCAGCUCCAUCAUACUCCAGGGUCACCCCUGUAAUGCUGAGGCUGUCCACUUUUGUGUA